CCCUUAGAUGUCCUGGGCCGCACGCGCGCUACACUGAGUGUCUGAGAUACGAGUCUGCCUGGUCCGGCAAGGUCUAGGUAAUCGCUAAAAGACACAUCAUGCUUGGGAUAGAUUAUUGCAAAAAUUAAUCUUGAACGAGGAAUUCCUAGUAAGCGCAAGUCAACAGCUUGCGUUGAUUACGUCCCUGCCCUUUGUACACACCGCCCGUCGCUACUACUGAUUGGAUGUUUAAGCGAGGUUCUCGAACUGCUAGCGACUUAGCUUCGGUGAGGUCGCAGUGUGGGAAGUGAACCUAGCUUUGGUGUCUAGAGGAAGUAAAAGUCGUAACA
rnacentral:rRNA from 1 species